GUAUUAGAGGCAUUGCCUGCCCAGUGACUAAAGUUAAACGGCCGCGGUAUCCUGACCGUGCAAAGGUAGCAUAAUCACUUGUUCCUUAAUUAGGGACUAGAAUGAAUGGCUAAACGAGGGUUCAACUGUCUCUUACUUUCAAUCAGUGAAAUUGACCUUCCAGUGAAGAGGCUGGAAUCUCCCAAUAAGACGAGAAGACCCUAUGGAGCUUUAAUUUACUAGUUCAACUUAUAUAAAAACAACCUAAUGGGCUAAAACAAAAUAAAUAUGAACUAAAAAAUUUCGGUUGGGGUGACCUCGGAGAAUAAAAAAUCCUCCGAAUGAUUUUAACCUAGACUCACAAGUCAAAGUAAUACUAAUAUCUUAUUGACCCAAUUAUUGAUCAACGGACCAAGUUACCCUAGGGAUAACAGCGCAAUCCUAUUUAAGAGUUCAUAUCGACAAUUAGGGUUUACGACCUCGAUGUUGGAUCAGGACAUCCCAAUGGUGCAGAAGCUAUUAAUGGUUCGUUUGUUCAACGAUUAAAGUCCUACGUGAUCUAUUUUU
rnacentral:rRNA from 1 species